CCCUGCUCAAUGAUAUAUUAAAUAGCCGCAGUACUUUGACUGUGCAAAGGUAGCAUAAUCAUUUGGCUUAUAAUUGAAGUCUGGAAUGAAUGGGAAUAUGGGUAGUUACUGUCUUACCAUAAUAAAUGAAUUUACUAAUUAAGUGAAAAUUCUUAUAAAAAUAUAAUAGACGAGAAGACCCUAGAAAUUUUAUAUAAUAUGUGUUAGAUUAAGCUAUUUUGUUGGGGCGACAGAACAACAUUUAACUUGUUUAUUAUUAUAAGACCUUAUUGAAUGGUGUAAUUAAAUUACUCUAGGGAUAACAGCAUAAUACAAAAGAGUUUGUGACCUCGAUGUUGGACUAGGAAUAUUAUUGUUUAGAAGAUAAUAAUAAUGGCUCUGUUCGAGCUAAUUCUCCU
rnacentral:rRNA from 1 species